rnacentral:lncRNA from 1 species
GGAACCCAGCAACCAGUGUUCAGCUCGAUCAGGACGAGCCCGGGCAUUUAGCUGUGCAGCAACAAUGGCGAGCCUUUAGCCUGGUUGGGAGUGGCAAUGGGCUCCUCGCUGGAUCAGGAGCGCAGAGGACACCCUGCCGGAUCUGGAGUGGUGGACAUCAGCCGCGGGUCUGCGAUGACAACCAUCAGCAGUGGUGGACUGCAAGCAAAAGCUCAGCUAGAGCUGUAAAAAACACUGACCAGAAGAGUGUGCAGUUGCAAGAUUUAAUAGAGUGAAAACAGAGCUCCCAUACGAUGGGAGGGGAUCCAAAGCGGGUUGCCACUCCCUGCUCACAUGCCUGGGUUUAUAUCCCCAUCAUUGUUGCUCCCCCUGCGCUCUCAGCUGAUAGAUGAUUUGACUAUUUUUUUACCUCCUGCUUUUAGCCUAAUUUGUAUUUUAGUGAGUCCUCUUUACUACCUGAUUGGUCAGGUGUGAGCUGAGUUACAAGCCCCGUAUUUAAAAUUCUUCAGAGGAGAAAGGAAACCUGUGACAUCGCAAAUGCCAUCCUAGACAUUCGACUAGCCUUCUAUGGCUAGACUACUCGCCAUAAAGAGGACCUCACAGAAAAACAAGAGGCUUGGGAAAAGUAGAGGUGACUUGGUAAAGGCUGCAGAAUAUGAAUGAAAAAGAAGCAAAAAACCAAUAACCCUUACUUUGUUCCAGAAUAAAUGUUCUGUUAGAGCAAUUUCUUUUUUUAUCGUCCUCUCAGAAGUCAGUCUUGAAAAUCACACAAUGGGUAUUAAAGUGUAAAACUUAUGGUGAUGAAUAUACACUUGUGUAGAGAAUCACAAAUGUACAUUUGGCUGUUAUUUCAUUACACAUGUAGAAAUCUCAGUUAUGUGCACUCCAGUUGGUGAAUGUUCUUCAUUGAUUGAUUAUAACCACAGAAGGAAGCUUUCCAAGAGCUCAAUAUGGA